AUGUACCUCGGCAUCUGGUACAACAACACCCCUGAGCUCACCGUGGUGUGGGUUGCCAACCGAGAAAACCCGGCCAGCAACACGACUUCACCGAUGCUCUCCCUCACCAACUCCUCCAAUCUUGUUCUAUCAGAUGGUGAUGGCGGUGGCCGUGUCAUUUGGACAACGACCAACAUGGGUGCUGCCAUGGGCUCGUCUACCCCUGUGGCAGUGCUUCUAAACACCGGCGACCUCGUCAUCCGCUCGCUAAACGGCACCACGUUGUGGCAGAGCUUCGAGCACCACACCGACACAUUCCUUCCUGGCAUGAAGCUCCGGUUCAAGUACAUGCAAAAUGGAACCAGCGACCGCCUGGUAUCCUGGAAGGGUCCUAGUGACCCUUCGCCGGGGCGCUUCUCCUAUGGUGGCGACACAAGCGCAUUCCCUCAAAUAUUCUUAUGGGACGGGGAGCGUCCGGUGUCCCGUAGCGCUCCAUGGACGGGGUACCUGGUGAAGAGCGAGCUUCGAUACCAGCAGGCAAAUGGCAGUGCAGAUGUUAUCAUCUACUUGGCGGUAGUCGAUGGCGACGAUGAGAUCUAUACUACCUACAACGUCUCUGAUGGUGCCCCACACACUAGGUACGUGCUGACCUACUUUGGCGAGUUCCAAAUCCAGAGCUGGAGUAGUAAUACAUCGGCAUGGGUAGUUCUUGGGAAAUGGUUGUCCCUCGAAUGCAACCACUACGGCUAUUGCGGCAUGUACGGGUACUGCGAUGAGACAUCAGUGCCCGUCGCGACAUGUAAGUGCCUCCACGGCUUCGAGCCAGCAAACACGGUGGAGUGGACAGGUGGAAAAUUUUCAGCAGGGUGCCAACGAAUGGAGCCACUACGAGGGUGCAAUGAUGGCUUCUUGGCCUUGCCAGGGAUGAAGUCGCCCGACAAGUAUUCGCUUGUCGGUGGCGGUAGGAGUACAUUUGAGGAGUGUGCAACAGAAUGCAACCACAACUGCUCCUGUGUUGCAUACUCACAUGCCAACUUAAGCAGCAGCGGGUCCAAGAGAAACAUGACGAGGUGCUUGGUCUGGUCCGGGGAGUUGCUUGACACAGGGAAAAUAGGUGAAGAGUUGGGGAGUGACACGCUCUAUCUCCGACUUGCAGGACUGAAUGCAACAUCUGGUAAAAGAAGAAAGAGUAAUGCAAUUAAGAUUGUGCUACCAGUUUUAGGAAGCAGUGUUAUAGUGCUCAUAUGCAUUUCGUUGGCAUGGUUCAAAUUCAGAGUACACCCUGAACACAAUCAUGAAUUCCCAUUUGUAACAUUUGAGGAAAUUGCACUAGCAACACACAAUUUCUCUGAAACAUGUGUGAUAGGACAAGGAGGCUUUGGCAAAGUAAGGGAUUGUUAG
rnacentral:rRNA from 1 species